GCUGGGCAUAGUGGCGUGCGCCUGUAGUCCCAGCUACUCGGGAGGCUGAGGCAGGAGAAUUGCUUGAACCCAGGAAGUGGAGGUUGCGAUGAGCCGAGAUCGCACCAUUGCACUCCAGCCUGGGUAGUGAGCGAAACUCCGUCUCAAAAAAAAAAAGAUGAAUUCUUGCUCUGUUGCCCAGGCUGGAGUGCAGUGGUGUGAUCUUAGCUCACUGCAACCUCUGCCUCCUGGGUUCAAGCAAUUCUUGUGCCUCAG
rnacentral:SRP_RNA from 13 species